AAAAUACAGUGUUUACAUUGAAAGCUAGGAACACCUCCAGUUGCAGUCACUCAGAAUGCCACCAGAGGGACUUCCGAGUUGAUUGAGGCAUAAAACUCCUCAAUCCACUCAGAUCUGCUGUCAGCAGAGCACAGGGCAGCACUGUGUCUCCUCCCUCUGCAUGCAGACACUGAACUUUCCUCAUAGAGAUUCAUUGAUUCAAUUAAUCUCUAUGAGGAGAUGCUGAUUGGCCA